GGGCUUAGACCCGUGGCAUAUAGCUCAGUAACACGUGGCCAAACUACCCUACAGACCGCGAUAACCUCGGGAAACUGAGGCCAAUAGCGGAUAUAACUCUCAUGCUGGAGUGCCGAGAGUUAGAAACGUUCCGGCGCUGUAGGAUGUGGCUGCGGCCGAUUAGGUAGAUGGUGGGGUAACGGCCCACCAUGCCGAUAAUCGGUACGGGUUGUGAGAGCAAGAACCCGGAGACGGUAUCUGAGACAAGAUACCGGGCCCUACGGGGCGCAGCAGGCGCGAAACCUUUACACUGCACGACAGUGCGAUAGGGGGACUCCGAGUGUGAGGGCAUAUAGCCCUCGCUUUUCUGUACCGUAAGGUGGUACAGGAACAAGGACUGGGCAAGACCGGUGCCAGCCGCCGCGGUAAUACCGGCAGUCCAAGUGAUGGCCGAUAUUAUUGGGCCUAAAGCGUCCGUAGCCGGCCGGACAAGUCCGUUGGGAAAUCGACGCGCUCAACGCGUCGGCGUCCAGCGGAAACUGUCCGGCUUGGGGCCGGAAGACCUGAGGGGUACGUCCGGGGUAGGAGUGAAAUCCUGUAAUCCUGGACGGACCACCAAUGGGGAAACCACCUCAGGAAGACGGACCCGACGGUGAGGGACGAAAGCUAGGGUCUCGAACCGGAUUAGAUACCCGGGUAGUCCUAGCUGUAAACGAUGCUCGCUAGGUGUGCCGUACGCUACGAGCCUGCGCUGCGCCCUAGGGAAGCCGAGAAGCGAGCCGCCUGGGAAGUACGUCUGCAAGGAUGAAACUUAAAGGAAUUGGCGGGGGAGCACCACAACCGGAGGAGCCUGCGGUUUAAUUGGACUCAACGCCGGACAU
rnacentral:rRNA from 1 species